CUGAAACUUCGUCACCGCAGAGACACACAGGACUUGUGCUCUUCAAUACGGACAAUAAGGUGACAUAACAGAGCCCUGAGAUGGAGGACUCUGCCUUAGAGAUGAGUCCCUCUGGGAACGAUAAGGAGGGGGUCACUGACUCGGAAAAGAGUUUUAAAAGCGUCCAGCAGGGGAGAUCAAUGUCACCUGUACCCAGCUGUAUAUCCAUGGAGAGUGACAAGUCAUUGGACUU